AAUCAGCACACCUCAUGUAGCUGCUCGGUGGGGGCCAUGGCAACCGGCUAAGCUUAAGAGGAGGAUCAUAUGAAAAAAGGUUGAAGGCUCAACGGGGAGACGAGAAGAAAAGGAGAAGAGGCAAAGCGAAGAAGAAGGAGGCUUCCAGCUUCAGUUGAUGAAGACUGCACACACAUGUACGCAUCUGUGUGUUAUUCAGGAGUCCACAUCAACACACUGCACGGAGGCAAACACAAACAGGAACUCCAGAUGGCCUGCUGCUGGAUGAGACUAACCUGCUGUGGCAGGAACCCGGCAGGCCCCGGGAAGCGUCGGGUCCUGGGUCUGUGAGGCUCGGAGCGGGGCCUCUUCUGAGGAAGCUUAUUAGAGGCUGAGACCAGCUGGACCAGGCGGUUGGUGAGGA